UGGUGGGUNGUCCGCACGAGCGCACCCCUAUCCUUAUUUGCCAGCACGUAAUGGUGGGAACUCUNNGNAGACUGCCGGUGAUAAACCGGAGGAAGGUGGGGACGACGUCAAGUCAUCAUGGCCCUUACGAGUAGGGCUACACACGUGCUACAAUGGCGUAUACAGAGGGUUGCAAAGCCGCGAGGUGGAGCUAAUCUCACAAAGUACGUCGUANUCCGGAUCGGAGUCUGCAACUCGACUCCGUGAAGUCGGAAUCGCUAGUAAUCGUGGAUCAGAAUGCCACGGUGAAUACGUUCCCGGGCCUUGUACACACCGCCCGUCACACCAUGGGAGUGGGCUGCAAAAGAAGUGGGUAGUUUAACCUUCGGGAGAACGCUCACCACUUUGUGGUUCAUGACUGGGGUGAAGUCGUAACAAGGUAGCCCUAGGGGAACCUGGGGCUGGAUCACCUCCUU
rnacentral:rRNA from 1 species